rnacentral:rRNA from 1 species
GAUGAACGCUGGCGGCGUGCCUAAUACAUGCAAGUCGAGCGAACAGACGAGGAGCUUGCUCCUCUGACGUUAGCGGCGGACGGGUGAGUAACACGUGGAUAACCUACCUAUAAGACUGGGAUAACUUCGGGAAACCGGAGCUAAUACCGGAUAAUAUAUUGAACCGCAUGGUUCAAUAGUGAAAGACGGUUUUGCUGUCACUUAUAGAUGGAUCCGCGCCGCAUUAGCUAGUUGGUAAGGUAACGGCUUACCAAGGCAACGAUGCGUAGCCGACCUGAGAGGGUGAUCGGCCACACUGGAACGGAGACACGGCCCAGACCCUCAGGGGGGGGAGAGGGAGGGAAUUUUCCGAAAGGGGCGAAACCCUGAGGGGGCAACGCCGGGGGGGUGAUGAAGGUCUUGGGACUGUAAACCUCUUUUAUUAGGGAAAAAAAAAUGUGUAAGUAACUAUGCACGUCUGGGCGGUACCUAAUCAAAAAGCCCCGGCUAACUACGU